GUGGGGAAUAUUGGACAAUGGGCGAAAGCCUGAUCCAGCCAUGCCGCGUGUGUGAAGAAGGUCUUCGGAUUGUAAAGCACUUUAAGUUGGGAGGAAGGGCAUUAACCUAAUACGUUAGUGUUUUGACGUUACCGACAGAAUAAGCACCGGCUAACUUCGUGCCAGCAGCCGCGGUAAUACGAAGGGUGCAAGCGUUAAUCGGAAUUACUGGGCGUAAAGCGCGCGUAGGUGGUUCAGUAAGUUGGAAGUGAAAUCCCCGGGCUCAACCUGGGAACUGCUUUCAAAACUGCUGAGCUAGAGUACGGUAGAGGGUGGUGGAAUUUCCUGUGUAGCGGUGAAAUGCGUAGAUAUAGGAAGGAACACCAGUGGCGAAGGCGACCACCUGGACUGAUACUGACACUGAGGUGCGAAAGUGUGGGGAGCAAACAGGAUUAGAAACCCGGGUAGUCC
rnacentral:rRNA from 1 species